rnacentral:snoRNA from 1 species
UUCAAUGAUGACUUCUUUAUUGCUGUUAUUUCUUAAUACACUUUGAAGAAAAAUUCUUUCACCUUGGAGAACUGAUGC